UCUGGGAUAAGCCUGGGAAACUGGGUCUAAUACCGGAUAUGACUUCUCAUCGCAUGGUGGGGGGUGGAAAGCUUUUGUGGUUUUGGAUGGACUCGCGGCCUAUCAGCUUGUUGGUGGGGUAAUGGCCUACCAAGGCGACGACGGGUAGCCGGCCUGAGAGGGUGACCGGCCACACUGGGACUGAGACACGGCCCAGACUCCUACGGGAGGCAGCAGUGGGGAAUAUUGCACAAUGGGCGCAAGCCUGAUGCAGCGACGCCGCGUGAGGGAUGACGGCCUUCGGGUUGUAAACCUCUUUCAGUAGGGAAGAAGCCCUCUUUUGGGGGUGACGGUACUUGCAGAAGAAGCGCCGGCUAACUACGUGCCAGCAGCCGCGGUAAUACGUAGGGCGCAAGCGUUAUCCGGAAUUAUUGGGCGUAAAGAGCUCGUAGGCGGUUUGUCGCGUCUGCUGUGAAAGACCGGGGCUCAACUCCGGUUCUGCAGUGGGUACG
rnacentral:rRNA from 2 species